GGGGUUUUAGGUCCCUCUAUGGGUCUGUAUGUCCCACUAUGGGGUUUUAGGUCCCGCUAUGGGUCCGUGUGCCCCAUAGAUCCCUGUUACCCGCAGGCUGUUGGAGGGCGUGUUCCGCUAUGGGGCUGUAUGUCCCGCUAUGGGGCUGUAUGUCCCGCUAUGGGGUUUUAGGUCCCACUAUGGGGUUUUAGGUCCCGCUAUGGGGCUGUAUGUCCCUCUAUGGGGUUUUAGGUCCCUCUAUGGGUCUGUAUGUCCCGCUAUGGGGUUUUAGGUCCCCCUAUGGGGCUGUAUAUCCCUCUAUGGGGUUUUAGGUCCCACUAUGGGGUUUUAGGUCCCGCUAUGGGUCCGUGUGCCCCACAGAUCCCUAUGUGCCCCCCAGGCUGUUGGAGGGCGUGUUCCGCUAUGGGUCUGUAUGUCCCACUAUGGGGUUUUAGGUCCCACUAUGGGGUUUUAGGUCCCUCUAUGGGGUUUUAGGUCCCACUAUGGGGUUUUAGGUCCCUCUAUGGGGUUUUAGGUCCCACUAUGGGGUUUUUGGUCCCGCUAUGGGGUUUUAGGUCCCACUAUGGGUCUGUAUGUCCUGCUAUGGGGUUUUUAUGUCGCCCCUAUAACAUGUAGGGGCUGCACAUCACACUCUAUGGGG
rnacentral:lncRNA from 1 species